rnacentral:rRNA from 1 species
AUUGAACGCUGGCGGCAGGCUUAACACAUGCAAGUCGAGCGAGCGGCGGACGGGUGAGUAAUGUCUGGGAAACUGCCUGAUGGAGGGGGAUAACUACUGGAAACGGUAGCUAAUACCGCAUACCAUCAGAUGUGCCCAGAUGGGAUUAGCUAGUUGGUGGGGUAAAGGCUCACCUAGCCGACGAUCCCUAGCUGGUCUGAGAGGAUGACCAGCCAAACGGGGACGUAGACACGGUCCAGACUCCGACGGGAGGCAGCAGUGGGGAAUAUUGCACAAUGGGCGCAAGCCUGAUGCAGCCAUGCCGCGUGCGUGAAGAAGGCCUUCGGGUUGUAAAGCACUUUCGGCGGGGAGGCGUUACUCGCAGAAGAAGCACCGGCUAACUCCGUGCCAGCAGCCGCGGUAAUAC